rnacentral:rRNA from 1 species
UUUAUGGAGAGUUUGAUCCUGGCUCAGGAUGAACGCUGGCGGCGUGCCUAAUACAUGCAAGUCGAGCGAACGGACGAGAAGCUUGCUUCUCUGAUGUUAGCGGCGGACGGGUGAGUAACACGUGGAUAACCUACCUAUAAGACUGGGAUAACUUCGGGAAACCGGAGCUAAUACCGGAUAAUAUUUUGAACCGCAUGGUUCAAAAGUGAAAGACGGUCUUGCUGUCACUUAUAGAUGGAUCCGCGCUGCAUUAGCUAGUUGGUAAGGUAACGGCUUACCAAAGCAACGAUGCAUAGCCGACCUGAGAGGGUGAUCGGCCACACUGGAACUGAGACACGGUCCAGACUCCUACGGGAGGCAGCAGUAGGGAAUCUUCCGCAAUGGGCGAAAGCCUGACGGAGCAACGCCGCGUGAGUGAUGAAGGUCUUCGGAUCGUAAAACUCUGUUAUUAGGGAAGAACAUAUGUGUAAGUAACUGUGCACAUCUUGACGGUACCUAAUCAGAAAGCCACGGCUAACUACGUGCCAGCAGCCGCGGUAAUACGUAGGUGGCAAGCGUUAUCCGGAAUUAUUGGGCGUAAAGCGCGCGUAGGCGGUUUUUUAAGUCUGAUGUGAAAGCCCACGGCUCAACCGUGGAGGGUCAUUGGAAACUGGAAAACUUGAGUGCAGAAGAGGAAAGUGGAAUUCCAUGUGUAGCGGUGAAAUGCGCAGAGAUAUGGAGGAACACCAGUGGCGAAGGCGACUUUCUGGUCUGUAACUGACGCUGAUGUGCGAAAGCGUGGGGAUCAAACAGGAUUAGAUACCCUGGUAGUCCACGCCGUAAACGAUGAGUGCUAAGUGUUAGGGGGUUUCCGCCCCUUAGUGCUGCAGCUAACGCAUUAAGCACUCCGCCUGGGGAGUACGACCGCAAGGUUGAAACUCAAAGGAAUUGACGGGGACCCGCACAAGCGGUGGAGCAUGUGGUUUAAUUCGAAGCAACGCGAAGAACCUUACCAAAUCUUGACAUCCUUUGACA